AGUAGAAACAAGGUUUCACCAUGUUGGCCAGGCUGGUCUUGAACUCCUCACCUCAGGUGAUCCACCUGCCUCGGCCUCCCAAAGUGCUGGGAUUACAAGCGUGAGCCACUGCGCCCAGCCAAGAACACCUAAUUUAAGGAAUCCUUUCUUCCCACCAGGUGUCUAGUGCAUUAACCUUGAUUGCAGAGCAAACUAGCUACACUCCAUUUAAUAACAAAAGUGGAAAAUUCAGCACCUUGGAGGAGAACUGCCAUAACUAUUUUAAGAGUUACUGAUACAGAAAACACACACACACAAAACCCAAAAACUUUCUAGAAUAAAGUAAUAAUUCUUUUUAAUAUCUUGAUUCUAACAAAGAGCAAAGGCCCAGAAAGUCUACAGUCUGCUCUAAUUUCCUGAUUAAUAUUAUAUAUAUUGAAUUAUUUAUUGAGCCCCUACUGUGGGCCAAAUAUGGUAUUUUGUGUUGCCAGGGAUUAUAUAAAGCUAUCCUGGAAUGAAAAGCAUAUGUUCACUCUGCUGUAUUCUGGAAGAAUCUCAUUGAUUUGAUGAUUGCUGAAAAUGAAUGUACUUGAUGUCUUAGGCCCAGACAUGGAAGGUUUCUUACGGAUUUGCUAAAUGAAAAUAUUAGGUCCAAAACAUAUAGGUGUAGGCAUUUGGUUUCCAGUGGCUGAACCACUGGAAAGGGAGUGAGGUGUAGCACUUUUCGAGCUUGUAGACUCUUUAUGGUCAGCCUCGUGACUUUAUUCAACAGUUUCCCUUCCUGUGCAAUCAUCCCUCAAAUAUUAGGCAGAUGAAUUGAGACUAGAUGUAACCAUACUGGGAACUCCAUUUCAUUGUAGGAUUCAUUUAGGAUGUCUCUAGUAGAGUGACUCAUGAUUUGCCUGAGACUUUGUCAGCCAGUUUUAUAUCCCAGCAAACCUUUUAGUCUCAUGCAAACUGAAACUGGGUAGGCUGGUCACCCUGGUCCUUAGAAGAGGGCAGGUGAGGCUCUUAGUUGAACCAAUUUCACUCAGUAAAUGAAUGAAAAUCCAUUACUAUCUUGAAUUUCUCAGCUCAUUUUCCUUACCAGUGGAUAUAAUUACCCUAUUGGGGCACAAAACCUGUUUCUUGCCUUUAGUGACCCUCCCCCUUUUAGCCCUGCCAAACCAUGUGUCCAUGAGCCUCCCAAGCAAUGAUUCAGCUUGGGAUCAUCCAAGGACCCAGUGGAGAGUCUCUUGAAAGUCUGCUGAGCACUGAUAGCCUCUGUUUUUUGUUGUUGUUGUUGUUGUUUGUUUUUAAUGAACAUUGUCCUCGUCUCAUAAUCUUUCCGUUCUUCUCAAAGGUCUAUCUCUCUAAAUAGUCUAGUAAUCCCAAACCUAGCUUCACCACAUUAUUACAAGUUUGUAACUAGUAACAUUCGUUAACAAUCAGGCUGCAAAAUUGUUAUUAUUAUUGAGACAGGGGCUUGCUCUGUCGCCCAGGCUGGAGUGGAGUGGCUUGAUCACUGCAGCCGUGAUCUCCCACGCUCAAGCGAUUCUCCCACCUCAGCCUCCCAAGUAGCUGGGACUACAGACAUGCGCCACCAAAUCCAGCUAAUUUUUAGGUGGUUUUUUUUUUUUUUUUUUUUUUUUUUUUGUAGAGACGAUUUCUCAUUAUGUUGUCCAGGCUGGUCUCGAAUUCCUGACCUCAAGUGAUCCUCUCGCUUCGGC
rnacentral:lncRNA from 10 species